CGGUUGUCAGUGACUCAGGCCUUGGGCUGUUAAUGCCCUGACGGCUUAUCUAACCUUUAUCUACAAGCAUGAGAAGAAAUCUAAUUUGAGCUCUGCUGCUGAUUCCUUUUGGUUUCAGAAGCUCUGGGCCAGAGAAUACCUACCAGAUCCAAGGCAUCAGAGAAAACAACAUUAAACAAGCAGACUACCCUUCCCCUUCUUGCCACUUAUGCUUUAUGAGACUGCAGUGGCCACUGUCUUCAUGUACGGUUUCAGGAACAGGAAAAAGAACACUACUACACAGGAGGAAAAGCAGCAUCUGUAUUGUGAAGCCAAAAAUGUUUCUCAUACUUUUUGAAGAAGUAGGUUUGAGUCACAUAGUCCACCUUAGCUGCAAGGAAGGCUGGGGUUAUUUGGACAAGGGUGGUCGGGCAAUGCUUAGCCCUGAGCAAAAUAAGAAGUCUCUUCAGAUAGAAGACAGAGUACGGAUACUGCAUAAGCAAACAGACAAAGAAGAUCCAGCCAGAAUGAUCAGGGAAAAAAGAAGACACAAAAUACCACUAUCAGGAAGGAAAGAGGUAUGACUCUACAGGCUCUUCAGAUAUUAAAAGUAUAAUGAGAGACUAUUAUGAACAGAAGUAUGCCAAUAAACUUGAAAAUUAAGAUGAAAUAGAGAAGUUUCUUGAAAGGACACUAAUUACCAAAGCCACCCAGGAAGGAAUAGACAAUUUGAUGAACACUACAUCUUUUAAAAAAGUUGAAUUGAUCAUUAAAAACCGUACACAAAAACACUAAACCUAGAUUGCCACAGGUGAAUUCUUUCACAUAUUUCAGGGAGAAAUCGUGUCAAUUCUACACAAACUUUCCAAAAAUUUGUAGAGAAGUGAAUUACUCGCCCAACAUAUGCUAGGAGGUUAACCUUCUUUAAAGCCAGUUUCUCUCACAAGUAUAAAUUUUAUCAAAUCAAAUCAAUAAUAUACAAAACGAUAAUAUGCCAUGACAAAAUACAAUCUUCAGAAAUCAAUUAAUGUAUUUUACCACAUAUAGUGGAUUGACAAGUGGUGGUCAACUUUUAACCCCCAGCUGAACUGAGUAAGCGUGGUGCUGGGUGUGGGAGGCCCACCUAGGGACUGUUGCCAACAGCAUAAGAGGCAGAACCGGAGAAGGAGGAUGCUGUUGGGAACUGAAAGGCUGUUUGGAGCUGGUAGAAGCUGUAAGGAGCUGUUGGUUGUUUUGGAGGAGCUCGUCAUGCUGGCUUUCCUGAUGAAGUUGGCUGUUUUCAUCCUCCGAGGAGCUCAGGAUCUUGUUGGCACUGAGAAUAGCUUCAGUUCACUUUGGGAGAGCUCUGGUCGU
rnacentral:lncRNA from 1 species